rnacentral:rRNA from 1 species
AGACGUCUACAUUAGAUACCCGGGUAGUCCCAGUCGUAAACUAUGCGCGUUAGGUGUAUCGGUGACCACGAGUCACCGAGGUGCCGAAGGGAAACCGUGAAACGUGCCGCCUGGGAAGUACGGUCGCAAGGCUGAAACUUAAAGGAAUUGGCGGGGAGCACCACAACGGGUGGAGCCUGCGGUUUAAUUGGACUCAACGCCGGGAAGCUCACCGGAUAAGACAGCGGAAUGAUUGCCGGGCUGAAGACUCUGCAUGACUAGCUG